ensembl:lncRNA
CUUUCUUUUUCUUUUUGCUAGACUGUUUUGAAGCAAAUCCAGGGUACCCUGUCAUUUCACUGCUCAGCCCUUCAGUGAGCUUCUUCAGCUGAUGAGGCCCUUUCUCUUCCAGCAUAAUUGCCACAUUGCUGGUACCCUAAUCAAGUCAAUAAGAAGCCUCUGAUAUUACCCAGUCCAUAUUCAAACUUAUCUGGCCCUCUCAAAAAUGUUUUCUUGUAACUGGUCUCUUUGAUACAGAAUCCAAACAAGGCCCACCCAUUGGUGGUUUUGCCUCUUUUCUCUCUAAUCCUUUCUCCGCAGGCCAUUGUUUUUAUAUAAAAAAAAAUAGUUUGUUUUUCCUGUGUAGCAUCUCCUGUUCUGACUUUGACUUAUUGCUUCCUUGAGUGGUUGUUUCACUUGUUUCUCUAACUUUUGCAUUUCCUAUAAAUUGUUAGUUAGAUGUAGAAACUCCGUUAGUUUCAUGUUCAACUGCUUGUGAACCCUGAGGGAACUCGGGAAGGAAAAAAGACAUACCCACUAUCUAGUAAUGGCACCCCACUCCAGGACUCUUGCCUGGAGAAUCCCAUGGACGGAGGAGCCAUGGCUGCAGUCCAUGGGGUCGCUAAGAGUUGGACACGACUGAGCGACUUCACUUUCAGUUUUCACUUUCAUGCACUGGAGAAGGAAAUGGCAACUCACUCCAGUAUUCUUGCCUAGAGAACCCCAAGGAUGCUGUCUCUGGGGUCGCACAGGGUCGGAAACGACCGAAGCGACUUAGCAGCAGCAGCAGCAGCAGUAGCCAUCAAACUGCAGCCACCCCUGAUGGUGCAGCUUGAGGAAACUCAGGAUGAAAAAACAGAGGAUCCUGGCCCCAGAGAGCCAAGGAAUGAUUUCAGUGAUCCCAAACUCUUGCAUCUUCCCAUACCUAGAAAAGUGCUAAAUUCCUUAACUGGGGAUAUCUGUUUUUCUUUUAUUAAUAGUAACCUUUUGUUCUGACUAUGUGUUGUUAUUGCAAAAAUUCCUAUAUAUCUUGGCAAAAUGCUGGGUUCACCAUUUCCUUUUCUAAACAGUUUUAUCCGAGAGGCUCUACCCUAAAACUGCUGGCC